rnacentral:rRNA from 1 species
GACGAACGCUGGCGGCGUGCCUAAUACAUGCAAGUAGAACGCUGAAGGAGGAGCUUGCUUCUCUGGAUGAGUUGCGAACGGGUGAGUAACGCGUAGGUAACCUGCCUGGUAGCGGGGGAUAACUAUUGGAAACGAUAGCUAAUACCGCAUAAGAGUAGAUGUUGCAUGACAUUUGCUUAAAAGGUGCAAUUGCAUCACUACCAGAUGGACCUGCGUUGUAUUAGCUAGUUGGUGGGGUAACGGCUCACCAAGGCGACGAUACAUAGCCGACCUGAGAGGGUGAUCGGCCACACUGGGACUGAGACACGGCCCAGACUCCUACGGGAGGCAGCAGUAGGGAAUCUUCGGCAAUGGACGGAAGUCUGACCGAGCAACGCCGCGUGAGUGAAGAAGGUUUUCGGAUCGUAAAGCUCUGUUGUAAGAGAAGAACGAGUGUGAGAGGGAAAGUUCA